GAGUUUGAUCGUGGCUCAGAUUGAACGCUGGCGGCAUGCCUUACACAUGCAAGUCGAACGGCAGCAUGAUCUAGCUUGCUAGAUUGAUGGCGAGUGGCGAACGGGUGAGUAAUACAUCGGAACGUGCCCUGUAGUGGGGAUAACUAGUCGAAAGAUUAGCUAAUACCGCAUACGACCUGAGGGUGAAAGUGGGGGACCGCAAGGCCUCAUGCUAUAGGAGCGGCCGAUGUCUGAUUAGCUAGUUGGUGGGGUAAAGGCCCACCAAGGCGACGAUCAGUAGCUGGUCUGGGAGGACGAUCAGCCACACUGGGACUGAGACACGGCCCAGACUCCUACGGGAGGCAGCAGUGGGGAAUUUUGGACAAUGGGCGAAAGCCUGAUCCAGCAAUGCCGCGUGUGUGAAGAAGGCCUCGGUUGUAAGUAC
rnacentral:rRNA from 1 species